CUCUCAGCAGUACAGUCUCUUUGUAUGGAGACUGCCUGGAUUAGGAUUUGCUUCUCAGUCCUCUGGGUUCUUUAUUACUCAGAAAACAUCUGGAGGCCAUGCUGGUGCUGUGUUAUGAGUACUUUUCCUUCUCCGCUCUUUCACUUCACCUAUAAUGAAACAAACAAGGUUUUUCCUUUUCCUCAAAUAAAGAUAUUUGUGGUUCCAUGUUCCUAAAAGACAACUGAGUGUUCACGAGUGCAGAAGAACCAUCUGUAAAGGAUGCUAGAGCGAGUUGCAAACUUAACUACAUGCUACACACAAUGGUUACUUCAUAUAUAACUGAAAUGCAUCCUGUCUCUGGGACAAAACUCAGCAGAUGUUCAACAGCACACAGCAAUGCUGCCCAACAGCCCUGGGUAGAAAGCCAACACUUGAAACUGCAGAGGGAAUUUUAGGUGCAUGCGAUGUUAUUGCCCAGUCUGGAAUUUGGCGAGGGUGCUGAAAUUAAUACAACGACUCAUAUUUCAGAAAGUACCCUGGGAUCGUUGAUGAUCCUAAAUAGUCAGGAUUUUGAUUUAAUCCAGAAGUCACUGGGGCAUAUCCCCAAACAGCACUGAAGUCAUUAAAUGUUCUUGAAGUCAAUGGAGCUAUGUUGAUUUACACCAGCUGAGGAUCUGGCCCAGCACAACCAGCAGAACAGUGUCUGCCUGCCUAACACCAUGAAGGAGAACAGGUUCUGUAAUUAUUCAAGGGGAUGACGAGUGCGGUUUACUGAAUUGCCAGCACUUUCUGCAGCAGGUGUGUGUUCCUUACAUGGCUCCUGUUGAAGUACUGAUUCACACAAGUACUGAGAUCUGAUGGAAUCACAGCAGAAGGUGGGUGUAGCUGCAGUUUGCUGGACUAUAUAGGUUUUUGUACUGUAGAAAUAUAUUCUUUCCUCUAAUCCAUAAUCUUAAGUAAAGGGUCAUGAUUGCCCCCACCUUUUGCUGCAUUGUUACAUGAUGUUGAUGGUAACAAAGAGAAGAGAUAUAAGAAAGAAAAAUAUAAAACC